rnacentral:misc_RNA from 1 species
UCCGGUUUGACACCGGCAGUCUGGCUAGAGUUCCCGACUUGACUCGCUGGCAACUAACCACAGGGGUUGCGCUCGUUAUAGGACUUAACCUGACACCUCACGGCACGAGCUGACGACAACCAUGCAGCACCUUGUAAUCUGCCCGAAGGAGGGGGUGUUUCCACCCCUGUCAGACUACAUUUAAGCCCUGGUAAGGUUCCUCGCGUAUCAUCGAAUUAAACCACAUGCUCCACCGCUUGUGCGGGCCCCCGUCAAUUCCUUUGAGUUUCAUUCUUGCGAACGUACUCCCCAGGUGGGUUACUUAUCACUUUCGCUUAGCCACUCAGUCUUACGACCAAACAGCUAGUAACCAUCGUUUACGGCGUAGACUAC